GUCGAUAGGUCUGCAUAUAGCUGGAUACCAGAGUAGGGAUCCGGUAGAAUGGGUUGUUUCCUCGCCGCCAUAAGGAGUUUUUCUUUUGAUCUGUAGUAAUGAAAGCACGUUACCACAUCUCAUGGGGUGUCCGCGCUGAGUCUUUGCGGUUUUGGCAGACAGUGGGCCCGAUCCAUUAGCCAUUCGGUUUCAGGCAGAUCGGCCACCAGGGAUUUGCAGAGUGAUGUCAGAUAAUCUUAGAGCUGGUCUCUGGUCAAGCUCUCUGGGAUUCCGCAAAAACGGACAUUGUUCCGCCUCGAGCGGUCUUCCAUGUCUGCUAGUUUCCUUUUUAGGAACUG